rnacentral:rRNA from 1 species
GACGAACGCUGGCGGCGUGCUUAUCACAUGCAAGUCGAACGGUAAGGCCCUUCGGGGUACACGAGUGGCGAACGGGUGAGUAACACGUGGGUGAGCUGCCCUGCACUUCGGGAUAAGCCUGGGAAACUGGGUCUAAUACCGGAUAGGACUCCUGGCUUCAUGGUUGGGGGUGGAAAGCUUUUGCGGUGUGGGAUGGGCCCGCGGCCUAUCAGCUUGUUGGUGGGGUGAUGGCCUACCAAGGCGACGACGGGUAGCCGGCCUGAGAGGGUGACCGGCCACACUGGGACUGAGAUACGGCCCAGACUCCUACGGGAGGCAGCAGUGGGGAAUAUUGCACAAUGGGCGCAAGCCUGAUGCAGCGACGCCGCGUGAGGGAUGACGGCCUUCGGGUUGUAAACCUCUUUCAGCACCGACGAAGCGCAAGUGACGGUAGGUGCAGAAGAAGGACCGGCCAACUACGUGCCAGCCGCCGCCGUAA